UACGGAGGGUGCGAGCGUUGUCCGGAAUCACUGGGCGUAAAGGGCGCGUAGGCGGCUUCUUAAGCGUGCGGUGAAAGCUCGGGGCUCAACCCCGAGUCGGCCGUGCGAACUGGGGAGCUCGAGCACUGUAGAGGCAGGUGGAAUUCCGGGUGUAGCGGUGGAAUGCGUAGAGAUCCGGAAGAACACCGGUGGCGAAGGCGGCCUGCUGGGCAGUGGCUGACGCUGAGGCGCGACAGCGUGGAGAGCAAACAGG
rnacentral:rRNA from 1 species